rnacentral:rRNA from 1 species
UACGUAGGGGGCAAGCGUUAUCCGGAUUUACUGGGUGUAAAGGGGGCGCAGACGGCGAUGCAAGCCAGGAGUGAAAGCCCGGGGCCCAACCCCGGGACUGCUCUUGGAACUGCGUGGCUGGAGUGCAGGAGGGGCAGGCGGAAUUCCUGGUGUAGCGGUGAAAUGCGUAGAUAUCAGGAGGAACACCGGUGGCGAAGGCGGCAUGCCGGCUUCCUACUGACGCUGAAGCACGAAAGCGUGGGGAUCGAACAGG